UACGAAGGGUGCAAGCGUUGCUCGGAAUUAUUGGGCGUAAAGGGUAGGUAGGUGGUUGCGUAUGUCUGAGGUGAAAGCCCUAAGCUUAACUUAGGAAGUGCCUUGGAAACGGCGUAACUAGAGUACUGGAGAGGUUCGUAGAAUUCCUGGUGUAGCGGUGAAAUGCGCAGAUAUCAGGAGGAACACCGGUGGCGAAGGCGCCUAUCUGGCCCGAUACUGACGCUGAGGCGCGAAAGCUAGGGGAGCAAACGGG
rnacentral:rRNA from 1 species